rnacentral:rRNA from 1 species
GACGAACGCUGGCGGCGUGCUUAACACAUGCAAGUCGAACGGAAAGGCCCUGCUUUUGUGGGGUGCUCGAGUGGCGAACGGGUGAGUAACACGUGAGUAACCUGCCCUUGACUUUGGGAUAACUUCAGGAAACUGGGGCUAAUACCGGAUAGGAGCUCCUGCUGCAUGGUGGGGGUUGGAAAGUUUCGGCGGUUGGGGAUGGACUCGCGGCUUAUCAGCUUGUUGGUGGGGUAGUGGCUUACCAAGGCUUUGACGGGUAGCCGGCCUGAGAGGGUGGCCGGCCACAUUGGGACUGAGAUACGGCCCAGACUCCUACGGGAGGCAGCAGUGGGGUAUAUUGCACAAUGGGCGGAAGCCUGAUGCAGCAACGCCGCGUGCGGGAUGACGGCCUUCGGGUUGUAAACCGCUUUCGCCUGUGACGAAGCGUGAGUGACGGUAAUGGGUAAAGAAGCACCGGCUAACUACGUG